UCUAGAAGAUGGCACCUCCAAUGAUGGGUUGCUGCCACAACAAGGAAGGGUUCAUGAAAGACAUCUGGUUGAAUGGCAGCAAUUGUUGUUGCUGUAGGAAGGUGGCCGCCAAUGGGUUAGCCAGUGCCAAUGGGUUAACCUGUAGCAGCUGUUGUUGCUGGUGGUAGGUGGCAGCGGUUGCAACAGCCGACUGAGCAAAUGGAAGUGACUGUGGCUGUUGUAGGUAUGCAGCGGCGUUCGACACAGCUAGUUGGUUGAAUGGAAGUAGCUGUUGCUGUUGAAAGUAGGCGAUAGGGUUCACCACGGACUGUUGUAACUGUUGUUGUUGUUGUAGGUAUGCAAUGGCAUUCACCGCAGCCAGUGGGUUUGUAGGAAGUAGCUGUUGCAGCUGCAAGUAGGUGGCAGGGUUUGGAAUAGCUAGUUGACUGAGCGCUGGUAGGAACUGUUGUUGUUGUAGUUGCGCUACAAUGGUCUGUACUAGUAGGUGAGCCGAGGAUUGCUGUUGCAAUUGGGCAAUUGAUUGUUGUAAGAUGCUCGCCGCGAGCACUUGUUGUAGCCGAUAGGCCUGCACAACUGGGUGUUCAUACCCAACAGCAGUAACUGGUGAGCACUGCGGAAUGAUGAACGCACUUGUAGCACUCACCGUGAGAGCAAGGAGUGCAAGGAGGGCAAAUAUCUUGGCAGCCAUUGUUUCUAAGAUGUUGCUAGUGCGUUUCACUUGGCAACUUUCUAAUUGCUCUCAAUGAUAUGGGUGGUGGAUUAGCUAUCGAUUUGGGCCAAUUUAUACAAGUGAGAGUUCAUGCAUAUCUAUUCAGAUCUCGGAGUUUACUAAAAAAUAGAUGAGCAUGAGAUGACAUGGCACCUAGUCAACUUCGGUGCUUAGUUAUCUAUUUUGUUGGAUUAUAUGGUAUGUGUUGGCAAGAUAGUGUCGAUUAUGUGCUAGGAAAAAGUGCCCUUUUCUAUAGGAGUUCUCUAGAUACACGAGGAAUGGCAUACAUGAUAACUUCACCUUUAUGCAUGACAAAGCCUUAGCCACAUCAUAUUUGUUAGACUUUAUAAACAUGAUGAGUAUGUAAAAUUAUGAUUUGCUCAUGUGAAUCGAAGCCUUUAUCAACAGAGUUUGUUGUAGCAUCGUCCUUAUGGUUGAAGUAUACAAUGUAAUUAUGUGAGAAGUUAUCAACCAGCGAAUGAUCAAUAAUGCUGCAAGGCCACGACUCAUUGAAGUCUCAGUAUGUCUAAAAUGCAUGCGCAUGCAAAGAAUCUAAAAAAUUGGCAUGCGCAUGCUCAUUACUAUCUUGGCCACUACCACAUACUCCCUUUGUUCUGGAGCACAAUUUAGUUUAUUUUUGUGUAAAAGCAAGCUUGUCUAACUUUGAAAAAGUUUUACAUUAGUUUUAACAACAAAAAUGCACUAUCAAGACAUAAUGACAUAUGCAACGAAACAAAGUGAUGUUCAAGGUUUUUGGUAAAUUUCUAUGAAAUAUGUCAAAGUUAGGUAAGAUUACCUUAGGGAAAAGAUAGAGCAAGUAAUAAAUUGGAGCGGAGGAGGUAUAUGUUGAACUCUACCUCUUGACUCAAAUAGAUGUGCAUCUAAUUUUCACUAAAGUCAAACUUAAAUUAUUUCCAUAUAGUAAGGAGAAUGAUAAAUUUGAUGCGGCUUUUGUUCCUUCCACCACCUAUGAUAUGAAUCUGCCUUCAAUAUACAGGUGAAGAGGAUAAUAGCCAACCUCGUAGCUAUUCGAAACAAAUAUCUCUUUGUGCUCAAAGGCAUAGAUCCAUUCAAGAAUAAAAACAACAUGGCCAUUGACAUAAACCUUGCUCAGCUAUGCUACAAAAACUCAAGAUAAAGGAGACUGAGAUGGGUGUUGUGUUGAUUUUUUAGGAGAAACACUAUAACAUCUGGACUUGGAAGUUUCAUGAAAACACACUCCUUCAUAUUCGUUUUCACUAGAACAAUGAGCACAUUGGUACACAUAAUUAAUUCCUUGGAGUUGACUCAAAUAUAUUUUAGAUUUUGUUUCACAUGAGUAGAAUCUCGUCCGAAAGAAUUUGGGGAACAUUGGGAUAAUAACCGUAAUCGCUAGGACUAGACAACAAGUUUAGGCUAAGGAAAUCUAAAAUGGCUGAAGACAUUUAAAAAUAAUAACUUCUAUUGACACAAAAUUAGAGUGAGACCAAUAAAAUCUUCAUGGCUUGAUUUACUAUUCCUUGUUCAUUUAUAAAGGAAUGUAUUUCAUGUUUCUACAAUAAUUUGCUUUAUGGGUGCUCACAUAGAUAUGAUAAGAUAUCUUUUCAACUUUUAUAUGACAUGCGAGUUAAGGUUACAUUGAUGACAGUGUUACAAACUACCUCUAGUAAACUAUCUUGUAGGUAAUAAACUUGUUCAUUUGUUUAGUUUUAACAUUUUAGAACAUGAACGUUUUCACAUUCAACACAUAGAUGCAAACUGCAAUCCAUUGAACUAAUCUAGGUGUCAUAAUGGCACUCUAUGUGGGUUCUCUCUGCAGAACAGCAGAAUGACGGUGGAUGGUUGGUACUUUAAUCUCGGGACAUUACUUUUGGGUUUUGAUAGCUCCACUCUAAAUCAUAUUUUACUAGGUACGGUGUCCAUCAGAAAAGAUCCUAUCUUUCAUAAUGCUACCUAGCAAAAAUGUGAGCUACAAUGUUGAGCAGUCAAUUUGACGUAGGUUUGAUGUCCCUCUGUAAAAUUGUCUCUGGCAUAUUCUUGGGAUAUUAAACUUCACGUUCAUGAUAAUUUUUUUUGGCAUCAAGUAUUAUACUUUGUUGUUAAUUGUUAAUGAUAGGGUCUAGUUGAUUUAAUGCCCUUGGCCUUGUCAAGUUCGUGGGCUCCAAUUAUUUCCUUAUUUUUCUACAAUAUUAUGGAGUCUUGCAUAAUUUUGCUCCAAGAUAAAAACAUAUGCACCAAAUAUUUACUAGAAACAAUAAUUAAGAGGUGUGACUUUGCAUAUCAACUUUGCACGCAUAUAUACGUUUACUCAUGAAUUUCUAUUAUGUUUUCCUUUGUGUACAUGUAUCUGACUUCAAAGAUAUUCGUCAAAGCAUAUGUGGCCAUGACUUUCUUAAAACAAGAUAUUGUAGAUGCAAGUACUCAACUCCACGCAAGUACUCAACUCCACGCAAGUACUCAACUCCACGCACAUACAGUCACAUCUAUAUAUCUCACAAACACCCACACACAGUACCAAAUGAGAAAAUUCAAGGGGGUUGGCUGGCACAUCUUGAUAUUGACAAUGUAAUGUCGUAUUGUCUACGUAUUAAUCAAGCAUUUGGCUGUAAUUAUGGUUCAUUUUUUAAUUGAUUAUAUACAAAGAAGAAAAUUACGGAAUAGACUCAGAUAAAUCUCAAUCAAUGUAUUGAUUAUUUGUGAGAAGUUGCACACGCUGAUACAAGAACAUUGUUAUCAAGUACAACUCUUUUGUAUUCUAGAAGAUGGCACCUCCAACGAUGGGUUGCUGCCACAACAAGGAAGGGUUCUUAAAAGACAUCUGGUUGAAUGGCAGCAAUUGUUGUUGCUGCAGGAAGGCGGCAGCCAAUGGGUUAGCCAGUGCCAAUGGGUUAACCGGUAGCAGCUGCUGUUGCUGGUGGUAGGUGGCAGCGGUUGCAACAGCCGACUGGGCAAAUGGAAGCGGUUGUGGCUGUUGCAGGUAUGCAGCGGUGUUCGGCACAGCUAGUUGGUUGAAUGGAAGUAGCUGUUGCUGUUGUAAGUAGGCGGCAGGGUUUGCCACGACUAGUUGACUGAGCGCUGGCAGGAUCUGUUGUAACUGUUGUUGUUGUGGUAGGUAUGCAAUGGCAUUCGACGCAGCCAAUGGGUUUGUAGGAAGUAGUUGUUGCAGCUGCAAGUAGGCGGUAGGGUUCGGAAUAGCUAGUUGACUGAGCACUGGUAGGAACUGUCGUUGUUGUCGUUGCGCUACAAUGGUCUGUUCUAGUAGGUGAGCCGAGGAUUGCUGUUGCAAUUGGGCAAUUGGUUGUUGUAAGAUGCUCGCCGCGAGCACCUGUUGUAGCCGAUAGGCCUGCACAACUGGGUGUUCAUACCCCGUAGCAGUAAUCGGUGAGCACUGCGGAAUGAUGAACGCAGUUGUAGCACUCACUAAGAGAGCAAGGAGUGCAAGGAGGGCAAAUAUCUUGGCAGCCAUUAUUUGCUAGUGCGUUUCACUUGGCUUGUUUCUGAUUGCUCUCAAUGAUAUGGGUUGUGGAUUAGAUAUUGAUUUGGUCCUAUUUAUAUAAGUGAGAGUUCAUGCAUAUCUAUUCAGAUCUCAGAGUUUACUAAAAAGCGGAUUAGCUUCAGAUGACAUGGCACCUAGUCAACUUCGGUGCUUAGUUAUCUAUUUUGUUGGAUUAUAUGGUAUGUGUUGGCAAGAUAGUGUCGACUAUGUGCUGUGAAAAAGUGCCCUUUUCUAUAGGAGUUCUCUAGAUACACGAGGAAUGACAUACAUGAUGACUUCACUUUUAAGCAUGACAAAGCCUUAGCCACAUCAUAUUUGUUAGACUUUAUAAACAUGAUAAGUAUGUAAAGUUAUGACUUGCUCAUGUGAAUCGAAGCCUUUAUCAAUAGACUUUGUUGUAGCAUCAUAGUUAUGGUUGAAGUAUACGUUGUAAUUAUGUGAGAAGUUGUCCAACAGCGAAUGAACAUUAAUGUUGCAAGGCCAUGGCUCAUUGAAGUCUCAGUACGUCCAAAAUGCAUGCACAUGCAAAGAAUGUAAAAAAUUUGCAUGCUCAUUACUAUCUUGGCCACUGCCACACACUCCCUUUGUUCUAGAGAACAAUUUAGUUUAUUUUUGUGUAAAAGCAAGCUUGUCUAACUUUGAAAUAGUUUUAAAUUUGUUUUAACAACAAAAAUGCACUAUCAAGACAUAUACAAUGAAGAAUUCAAUGAAACAAACUUGAUGUUCAAGGUUUUUGGUAAAUUUCUAUGAAAUAUGUCAAAGCUAGGUAAGUUUACCUUAGGGAAAAGCUAGAGCAAGUAAUAAAUUGGAGCGGAGGGGGUAUAUGUUGAACUCUACCUCUUGACUCAAAUAGAUGUGCAUCUAAUUUUCACUAAAGUCAAACUUAAAUUAUUUCCAUAUAGUAAGGAGAAUGAUAAAUUUGAUGCGGCUUUUGUUCCUUCCACCACCUAUGAUAUGAAUCUGCCUUCAAUAUACAGGUGAAGAGGAUAAUAGCCAACCUCGUAGCUAUUCGAAACAAAUAUCUCUUUGUGCUCAAAGGCAUAGAUCCAUUCAAGAAUAAAAACAACAUGGCCAUUGACAUAAACCUUGCUCAGCUAUGCUACAAAAACUCAAGAUAAAGGAGACUGAGAUGGGUGUUGUGUUGAUUUUUUAGGAGAAACACUAUAACAUCUGGACUUGGAAGUUUCAUGAAAACACACUCCUUCAUAUUCGUUUUCACUAGAACAAUGAGCACAUUGGUACACAUAAUUAAUUCCUUGGAGUUGACUCAAAUAUAUUUUAGAUUUUGUUUCACAUGAGUAGAAUCUCGUCCGAAAGAAUUUGGGGAACAUUGGGAUAAUAACCGUAAUCGCUAGGACUAGACAAUAAGUUUAGGCUAAGGAAAUCUAAAAUGGCUGAAGACAUUUAAAAAUAAUAACUUCUAUUGACACAAAAUUAGAGUGAGACCAAUAAAAUCUUCAUGGCUUGAUUUACUAUUCCUUGUUCAUUUAUAAAGGUAUAUAUUUCAUGAUACUACAAUAAUUUGCUCUAUGGGUGCUCACAUAAAUAUGAUAAGAUAUUUUUUCAACUUUUAUAUGACAUGCGAGUUAAGGUUACAUUGAUGAUAGUGUUACAAACUACCCCUAGUAAAUUAUCUUGUAGGUAAACUUGUUCAUUUGUUUAGUUUUAACAUUUUAGAACAUGAACGUUUUCACAUUCAACACUGUUGAUGGUGGUUAACGUCAACUUUCAUUAGAACUUUAAACCCAAAAGAAAACAUGAAAACACACCAGUCUAGGGUUUUAACUGACAAUUUCCACGAGUUUCGCAUAUUCUGUAUUUUCUAGGGUGAAUUUCAUGAAAGCCGAAAAGAGGGAUUCUAGUGCAAAAUAAACACGAAACUUAUCCACCACGGCAACAUCGCAAACGGGACGUGGGAAGACUCUGGAAGACACCCAAAGAGCCAGGGGGGCAGAGGCCGCCAGGUGGGGCCGGCCGGCCCCACCCUAGCGCCGGCCGGUGCCCUCUACAAGGGUUUCGGCCCCCCUUCUGGAAGCUUCCUCCAGGGCCUACGAUGAGUCAUCUUGGCCUUUGGUUAAAUCGGUUUGAUCCUGCGGCGCACGUCGAUCCAACCGGGAUAUAAAUAAAGUGGCAGACCCCCCUCCCUGAGGGCACCACAUUAUGGAGAUGUAGAGGCGUCCCUCGAAUGGAUGACCUCUCACCUCUAGAGAAUUAGGGCUAGACUUUCCAAUGUAGUAGAUUAGUUCUAGUUGAGAGUUAGCGAGAGCGGCGCUACGCCCGGGUUCUGGAGGAGUCUUCGGAGGAGUCAUCAGAGUUCUGGUAUAUCUUUGUAUCCUUGCUUUAAUAUAUUUUUUCUUCUCUAUUUACUUUUAUGCAUUACAUUUGAUUGGUUAGUAUAGUUGUUAUACUUUAGCAUAGGAUCUCCGCUCGCAUCGGGUGCUCUAAUUAUUAAUUGUGACUAGAGUAGUAGUUUGUAGUAGAGACAUGGUGUCUAGACUAUAGGUUACCUGAGAUUGCACCCAGUUCUACGGAUAGUUGUGGUAGCCCCAGGUGGUGACAGCCCUGACGGCCAACGUAUUCCACCACAUUUGGAUUGGUGUUGUAGGACCGUAGUCAGAUCAUCCUAGCCCCCUUCUCAUCUGUCUGUGGCUAAGUGCUCUGAUGUCCCGAAGUGUUAUUGUGUGAUUGCUUUACCUACCAUGAAUUAGUUAUUAUAGAACCCUAGUAAUAGAGAAGUAUUUGGGAACCUUAAACUCUCCCGUUGUUCUAUCACUUUAGCUAUCUACUCUUUUAUCAUAAGAAUUCUCGGGUGUGUGUCAUAUAUGCAUAAUUCCUAUCAUCGGUUACUUACCCCUACUUAAGUCUAGUUGGUGUAUUAGUUAGUAGAUACAUGAUGGUGAACUAUCAAUAUCUUUAUUCAUUGUUUCCCAGUGGUAAGAUAUAAAUAACGAUACCUGGAAUACUCCUAGUAAAAUGCUACAAUGGUUUUCUGCGCGCUUGCAGAAUCCUUCAUAUUUUAACUGUGCAUAAGAAAUACCAACAAACACCAAGAUGCAAACUGCAAUCCAUUGAACUAAUCUAGGUUUCAUAGUGGCACUCUAUGCGGGUUCUCUCUGUAGAACAGCGGUGGAUGGUUGGUACUUUAAUCUCAGGACAUUACUUUUGGGUUUUGAUAGCUCCACUCUAAAUCAUAUUUUACUGGGUACGGUGUCCAUCAGAAAAGAUCCCAUCUUUCAUAAUGCUACCUAGCAAAAAUGUGAGCUACAGUGUUGAGCAGUCAAUUUGACGCAGGUUUGGUGUCCCUCUGUAAAAUUGUCUCUGGCAUAUUCGUGGGAUAUUAAACUUCACGUUCAUGAUAAAUUAUUUUGGCAUCAAGUUUAAUACUUUGUUGCUAAUUGUUAAUGAUAAGGUGUAGUGUAUUUAGUGCCCUUGGCCUUGUCAAGUUCGUGGGCUCCAAUUAUUUCCUUAUUUUUCUACAAUAUUAUGGCGUCUUGCACAAUUUUGCUCCAAGAUAAAAACAUAUGCACCAAAUAUUUACUAGAAACAAUAAUUAAGAGGUAUGACUUUGCAUAUCAACUUUGCACGCAUAUAUAUGUUUACUCAUGAAUUUCUAUUAUGCUUUCCUUUGUGUACAUGUAUCUGACUUCAAAGAUAAUGGUCAAAGCAUAUGUGGCCAUGAUUUUCUUAAAACAAGAUACUAUAGAUGCAAGUACUCAACUCCAUGCACAUACAGUCACAUCUAUAUAUCUCACAAACACCCACGCACAGAACCAAAUGAGAACAUUCAAGGUUUGGCUGGCACAUCUUGAUAUUGACAAUGUAAUGUCGUAUUGUGUACGUAUUAAUAAAGCAUUUGGCUGUAAUUAUGGUUCAUUUUUAAUUGAUUAUAUACAAAGAAGAAAAUUAUGGAAUAGACUCAGAUAAAUCUCAAUCAAUGUAUUGAUUAUUUCCGAGAAGUUGCACACGCUGAUACAAGAAUAUUGUUAUCAAGUACAACUCUUUUGUAUUCUAGAAGAUGGCACCUCCAACGAUGGGUUGCUGCCACAACAAGGAAGGGUUCUUAAAAGACAUCUGGUUGAAUGGCAGCAAUUGUUGUUGCUGCAGGAAGGCGGCAGCCAAUGGGUUAGCCAGUGCCAAUGGGUUAACCGGUAGCAGCUGCUGUUGCUGGUGGUAGGUGGCAGCGGUUGCAACAGCCGACUGGGCAAAUGGAAGCGGUUGUGGCUGUUGCAGGUAUGCAGCGGUGUUCGGCACAGCUAGUUGGUUGAAUGGAAGUAGCUGUUGCUGUUGUAAGUAGGCGGCAGGGUUUGCCACGACUAGUUGACUGAGCGCUGGCAGGAUCUGUUGUAACUGUUGUUGUUGUGGUAGGUAUGCAAUGGCAUUCGACGCAGCCAAUGGGUUUGUAGGAAGUAGUUGUUGCAGCUGCAAGUAGGCGGUAGGGUUUGGAAUAGCUAGUUGACUAAACGCUGGUAGGAACUGUUGUUGUUGUAGUUGCGCUACAAUGGUCUGUACUAGUAGUUGAGCCGAGGAUUGCUGUUGCAAUUGGACAAUUGGUUGUUGUAAGAUGCUCGCCGUGAGCACCUGUUGUUGCCGAUAGGCCUGCACAAUUGGGUGUUCAUACCCCGCAGCAGUAACCGGUGAGCACUGCGGAAUGAUGAACGCACUUGUAGCACUCACUAGGAGAGCAAGGAGUGCAAGGAGGGCAAAUAUCUUGGGAGCCAUUGUUUCUAUGAUGUUGCUAGUGCGUUUCACUUGGCUUGUUUCUGAUUGCUCUCAAU
rnacentral:lncRNA from 1 species